rnacentral:rRNA from 1 species
CCCCUAGUAACUGCGAGUGAAGCGGGAAAAGCUCAAAUUUAAAAUCUGGCGGCUUUGCCGUCCGAGUUGUAAUCUGGAGAAGUGCUUUCUGUGCCGGACCGUGUACAAGUCUCUUGGAACAGAGCGUCAUAGAGGGUGAGAAUCCCGUCUUUGACACGGACUGCCGGUGCUAUGUGAUGCGCUCUCGAAGAGUCGAGUUGUUUGGGAAUGCAGCUCAAAAUGGGUGGUGAAUUCCAUCUAAAGCUAAAUAUUGGCGAGAGACCGAUAGCGAACAAGUACCGUGAGGGAAAGAUGAAAAGCACUUUGGAAAGAGAGUUAAACAGUACGUGAAAUUGUUGAAAGGGAAACGCUUGAAGUCAGUCGCGUCGUCCGGAACUCAGCCUUGCUCUUGCUUGGUGUACUUUCCGGUUGACGGGCCAACAUCGAUUUUGGCUGGCGGAUAAAGGCAGUUGGAAUGUGGCACCCUCGGGUGUGUUAUAGCCUCCUGUUGAACACGCUGGCCGGGAUCGAGGACCGCAGCGCGCCUUUUGGCCGGGGCUUUGCCCACGUAACGCGCUUAGGAUGUUGGCGUAAUGGCUUUAAACGACCCGUCUUGAAACACGGACCAAGGAGUCUAACAUGCCCGCGAGUGUUAGGGUGGAAAACCCUUCCGCGUAAUGAAAGUGAAAGUUGGGACCUCUGUCAUGGAGGGCACCGACGCCCGGCCUUGAACUUCUGUGACGGUGCUGCGGUGGAGCGUGCAUGUUGGGACCCGAAAGAUGGUGAACUAUGCCUGAAUAGGGUGAAGCCAGAGGAAACUCUGGUGGAGGCUCGUAGCGAUUCUGACGUGCAAAUCGAUCGUCAAAUUUGGG